AAGGAGACUUAUUAGGCUUCUUAUAUUUUCUGUCUUAUCUAUAAUGUUACAGUGUCAGAUGUUCAUGUUAAACGUGGCCAAAGCUCUACUCUUGGCACUUAAUGAUGUCAUACAGAGCUAGUUUUCCAUAUAUGGUCAUUUACCUGCAGCCUCAAUAACAACUGGCAACUCCUAUGCUUAGUUUGUCUCUACCGCUGAGAGGCAUAAUCAUCCUGCUUCAGGAUCUUGGCCAAUCAGAACACAGUGGGCUUUUGGAGAGAGGAGGGGGGGAGCUUAAAGAGACAGGAGCAUCUACUGCUUGUUUAAGAGGCUGAAAUGAGAGCUUGCAUGAAGUUUAGCAAUCCAGUUUAGCAUCAGCCUUCAACAGCCAGCAUUCACACCGAAAUUUCUCUGGAAAUUGCACUGUCUAGUUUCAUGUAAUGUUUUAAAAAGAGAAAAAGCAACACAACUUAAUUAGCUGUUGUAAUGUUUAAAAUAAUUAAGCCGAGCAUUGUAUUGAUGCUUGGGCUACAUGUUUAAUGCGGUUGCCUAGUGCCUGUGUCGGACAGCUCUCCUACGUCUGCUGACAGCAGAGAAUCUGCGAGGUCUCCUGGGUCUGCGAACAGGGCGAGAGGCGUGCAUGCGUCUGCGUGGCAUUGUCAAAAAACAGCUUGCUGGAUGAAACGGCUUCUAUUUAUAAACUCACCGUGGCAACAUCUGUGAUGUCACUGAUGAUGUCACAAUUUCUUUGUGACAAAUGCUGAGUCAACCAUUCGUGACAUCACUGUAUUCCAUGAUGUCACUGACAAUGAUGUCAUUAAUGAUGUCACAAUUUCUGUGAUAAAUGCUGGCUCAGUGUUUAAUGAUAUAACAGGGUUUGAUGAUGUCACAGAUGAUGUCACAAUUUCUGCAAUGGAAAUGAUGGUUCAAUCAUUCAUGACAUCAUUGGAAUCCAUGAUGUCACUGAUGAUGUGACAACUCCAGUGAGACAAUCGAUUACAUCAUCAAAGGAACUUCAUGAUGAGGCCGAUGUAAUGAAAGCCUCCCAUGAACGCUCCAGAUUCUUCAUCAGUGUUUAUGCGGCUUCAGGUUUAUUUCUUUUUUCAUGUAAUGUUUUAAAAAGAGAAAAAGCAACACAACUUAAUUAGCUAUUGUAAUGUUCAAAAUAAUUAAGCUGAGCGUUGUUUUUAUGCUUGGGCUACAUGUUUAAUGCGGUUGCCUAGUGCCUGCGUCGGACAGCUCUCCUACGUCUGCGGACAGCAGAGGACCUGCGAGGUCUCCUGCGUCUGCGAACAAGGCGAGAGGCGUGUCUGCGUCUGCGUGGCAUUGUCAAAAAA